AGGCUACUACAUAGGGUGAUGGAUGGUAUGGAACUUCUCUUACUCAUUGCAUAUGCAGAAUUGUUCGGGCCAUUGAUGAGAUAUGUGGUCAUUGAAGAAGAAGACUUGGCUCUUUCCUAAGUCAAUGGGUGAGUCCCCAUGAGUUCCGAGGAUAGAGUCACUCAUCAAACCUUAUUAGUUUUGUCUAUAUUUUGAGACAAUUAUUCCAUUCUCAUGUUGAUACUUCAUAUUAUCCUAGAUGGGCAUAUUGUAAUAGACUAAGAUCUAUCCCCAAACUAAUGUAAUUCAUUCUUUAGAUGGCUAAAUGUGAGAUGAACUAUUAGACUAUGUUUUUUGUUAAAUGUUAAGUGAGAAUCCUA